rnacentral:rRNA from 1 species
GACGAACCGUCCUAACGUUGUUCGGAAUCACUGGGCUUAAAGGGCGCGUAGGCGGUCAGCACAAGUCAGUUGUGAAAUCUCCGGGCUUAACUCGGAAAGGUCAACUGAUACUGUGCGACUAGAGUGCGGAAGGGGCAAUCGGAAUUCUUGGUGUAGCGGUGAAAUGCGUAGAUAUCAAGAGGAACACCUGAGGUGAAGACGGGUUGCUGGGCCGACACUGACGCUGAUGCGCGAAAGCCAGGGGAGCAAACGGG